CACGAAGCACCAAGAAUGAGGAUGACAAGCUUCAGGCCAGGCUCAGAAAAGGUGCCUAUACCAUUGUUCUUCAGUCCACAUAGUGACCAGCCACCAGAAUGCUCUACGUGAACGAACUCAAGGAUCUGGAAGAAUGAAGUAUGGGUCUUGCCCUAAACCCACCUGCUGUGAAAUGUCCAAGGUCCUGAGAAUCCGUGCUACAUACAGACUUUGACCAAACAUCUGGUUUAGCCAACAGUUCCCAUCAUACCACCCUUCCUGUGCUGCCUAAACAAGCACUGAGGGCUGUGAUGUGACAUUCCCAGUGCUGACAGGUGAGUAAAGCCAUCAGUGUGGGGAGCAGGUGAAGUGCUAAGUAAAUGUGUAUUGU
rnacentral:lncRNA from 1 species